UGGACCUGGAGGUAUUACGCUUAGUGAAAUAAAUAACUUUGUUAUCCCUUAUAUGUGAAAUUUAAAAAGUAAAAUGAAUGAAUAUAACAAAACAGAAGCAGAUUCAUAGAAAUAGGGAGCAAACUAGUGGUCACCAGUGGGGGGAGAGAGGGACAAGAUAGGGUUGGGGACUAAGUUACUAACCACCACGUAUAAAAUGAAGUACAAGGAUAUAUUGUACGGCACAGAGAAUAUAACCAAUGUAAUAAUUUUAAAUGGAGUAUUAUCUGUAAAAAUUCCAAAUCACUAUGUUGUAUACCCAAAACCAACAUAUACCUGAAGCCAAUUAACUAUAAUCAAUUUUUUACAAAUGAUUCCACUGUGCCAUUUUAACUUUCUGUUGUCUGGAGCCACCUACUCUGUUUAUGUUGUCUCUCGUGCUUUUAACUGCCUUUAUAAUUCCGGUGCUGCUGGUUGUGUGUUUAUAGAAUAACAGACCAACAAGCUCAGUAAUUGUGUUGGUUUCUUCUGUUGCUGUGUUUCCUCUGCUGCUGUGUCUGCUUCCCUGCCCUGGACCAUGAAGGACUUUCGGCAGUAGGGUUUUCUGUCGGGAAUUACUACAGGUACUUGCUGGUUAUGAACUCAGAGCCUCUGUGGGAUCUUUCCAGGAAGACUGGCUGUCAGGUCCAUCACCUACCUUCUGGGCCAUGGCUUCCUCCACUCUGCUGAGCCACCAGCGUGUUGUCAUCCACUUCUAGAAAUGUGUUGACACCGCUUCACCGGCCACCCCAUCUCCCUGCCAUUCUCUUUGCUGUUAGGUGUUUAUAUUCCUAUUCUGUCCUAUUAAUGGGGAUCUCAAAAAGAAGUGGGAACAACCACUUGUGCUCACAUGACUAUCUUGAACCUUUAAUAUGUUCGCAUGCUUUGCAAAUCUUCCAGGAUAUUUGUUGUUUGGAUUUCUUUUACAACUGCUUUUUGGGGAUGGAUGUACCGCUGUCGCCAAGAGUUGGGCAUGACUGAGUGACUGAACUGUACCACUGUUAAAUGGUGGGGCCUUUGUUCUGCUGAGUCCCUUGAUGUGUUUGCAUAUACAAAUUAUCAGAAGCUGAGGAGAGCUGAACAGCUUUUUUAUAAUAGAGUAAAACGACCUGGAGUUUCCACAGCAAUCUGAGAGAGAAGGGGUAACAACAGCGAUGGGAGGAGUUAGUCCCACACCCUGAUGAGACCCCUCCCCAAGAUUCCCAGUCUCUCGAAGGGAUUCUAGCUGUACAAAUGCUUGAUAUGACAGAACUUCCCAGGGAACUCAUGAAGGUGCUUAGUUCUGUGAUAAAGCAAAUGGGGACAAAACAAGUGAUGAAAUAAAAUUUAUAUUUUAUGGUAAGACAAAAUUUUAAAUAAAAUUUUUAUUUUCUCC